AGGACGAACGCUGGCGGCGUGCUUAACACAUGCAAGUCGAGCGGAAAGGCCCUUCGGGGUACUCGAGCGGCGAACGGGUGAGUAACACGUGAGUAAUCUGCCCUUAGCUCUGGGAUAGCUCCGGGAAACCGGGAUUAAUACCAGAUACGACCACUUUAGACAUCUGCCGUGGUGGAAAGAAUUUCGGCUAAGGAUGAGCUCGCGGCCUAUCAGCUUGUUGGUGGGGUAACGGCCUACCAAGGCGACGACGGGUAGCCGGCCUGAGAGGGUGACCGGCCACACUGGGACUGAGACACGGCCCAGACUCCUACGGGAGGCAGCAGUGGGGAAUAUUGCACAAUGGGCGCAAGCCUGAUGCAGCAACGCCGCGUGAGGGAUGACGGCCUUCGGUUGUAAACCUCUUUAGUAGGGAAGAAGCGAAGUGACGGUACCUGCAGAAAAGCACCGGCUAACUACGUGCCAGCAGCCGC
rnacentral:rRNA from 1 species